rnacentral:lncRNA from 13 species
UUUAAAUUAAGAAUACAUGUAAACAGUGCCUGACAUUUAGCUAUCACUAGAUACAGUUUGGCUAUUAUUAUUAUUUGUUUUUCUUGUGCCAGAACUUACAUAUAUUAUUUCAUUUAAUUUUCAUAACAACCCUGCCGAGGAGCUUAGUAUUAGCUCCAUUUAUAUAGCUGAGAAACCUUUGCUUCUAGAAGCUAAAUAACUUGCCUGAGAUCACAAAUAUGGUGACUGGUAGAAGCAUAAUUCACAUCCAGAAUAUGCUUGACUGCCAAGCUAGUGUUCAAAAACCUUAUAUAGCCUUUCCCAGGCUUAACAGAGCUCUCUAGAUUUUCCAGGUAGCCCUGUCCAAUAACUAGUUUAGAUUGUUUAAUUUUCCAGAGAAGAUGUUUUGGUUUCAUAUACCAGUGACUUGGUCCCCUAAAGAUCAGUUAAAAAAAUUCUAAUACAAAUGUCAUCUAUUGUAUUAGAAUUCUAUUUUUGUUGUUGUGUUGUUUGAGAUGGAGUUUCGCUCUUGUUGCCCAGGUUGGAGUGCAAUGGCACGAUCUCAGCUCACCACAAUCUCCACCUCCCAGGUUCAAGAGAUUUUCCUGCCUCGGCCUCCUGAGUUGCUGGGAUUACAGAUCUGUAGAACAGAAGUCUGGCAUGGGAUGGCAUGGAUUCUUUGCUCAAGAUCUCACAAAGCCAAAAUCAAGAUGUUGGUAGGGCUGCAUUCCUUUUCCACGGCAAUUGGGAAGAAUUUGUAUCCAAGCUCUAUCCAAGAUGAACAGAGCACAAGGUAACAUGAAGAAUUCCAUUGUCUGAUAUGAAGUAAAUGUUGAUAAGUCGCCUUAAGUCCAAACAGGUAAGAUUCAAACUAUGUUUUUUGUCCCUGGGGUGGAGGCCUUCACUAUUUAAAAAACAUGACUCAUUAUGGCUAAGAGUAAGUGAUUGCUUGCCUGAUAC